CCCUUAGAUGUUCUGGGCCGCACGCGCGCUACACUGAUGCAUUCAACGAGUCCAAAACCUGCUCUGAUAGGGGUGGGUAAUCUUUUGAAUGUGCAUCGUGAUUGGGAUAGAUGAUUGCAAUUUUUCAUCUUCAACGAGGAAUGCCUAGUAAACGCAAGUCAUCAGCUUGCAUUGAUUACGUCCCUGCCCUUUGUACACACCGCCCGUCGCUCCUACCGAUUGAAUGAUCCGAUGAAUAUCAUAGACUGAGAGUAUAAGCAGGUUCGCCUGUCUUUGCUUCUCGGGAAGUGAAGUAAAUCUUAUCAUUUAGAGGAAGGAGAAGUCGUAACA
rnacentral:rRNA from 1 species